AGCUCCAAUAGCGUAUAUUAAAGUUGUUGCAGUUAAAAAGCUCGUAGUUGGAUUUGUGGCUGUCGCAUGCGGCCCGCAUUCGUGCGGUGUUUGCUAGCGUCGCCAUCCUUGGGUGGAACCUGUGUGGCAUUAGGUUGUCGUGCAGGGGAUGCCCAUCGUUUACUGUGAAAAAAUUAGAGUGUUCAAAGCAGGCUUACGCCGUUGAAUAUAUUAGCAUGGAAUAAUAAGAUAGGACCUUGGUACUAUUUUGUUGGUUUCCUGGACCGAAGUAAUGAUUAAGAGGGACAAUUGGGGGCGUCCGUAUUUCGUUGUCAGAGGUGAAAUUCUUGGAUUUACGAAAGACGAACAACUGCGAAAGCAUUCGCCAAGAGUGUUUUCAUUAAUCAAGAACGAAAGUAGG
rnacentral:rRNA from 1 species